GGAAUGAUUGACAGGUCCUAUGGAGGAGGCAGCAGAGACUCUGCUCUCCUCGUUUGGAUUAAUUCUGAUAUAAUAACUGUUGGUUUAUUUAUCAGUGGAGCAGCAGAAGAUUUUCCACAGUUUUCCUGCCCGUUGGCUUGUUUUAACCAGUUUUCUACCUUCGGCUGAUUCUACCAGCAGACAUUGAAAGGACUCUAAUAGUUCGAGUGAAAGUAGCAGUUCCUCCUUAAGGUCAGAGAUUGCAGCAUCUGAGGGCCUCUUCAAAAGAAGACGUAGUUGAUGAAGACGUUCUGGAGCAGGACCAGAAAGACCACGACGAAGCAGCCUUGAGAUCUUAGGCAGCGUCUCCCUCGGUUCUGCCGGUCCAGCUCAGCUUCCCCUCAGAAGAAGUUCCACCAGAUGAAGGAGCCUUUUGAGAAGCAGCUGGCAUCGUGAUUGGACUGUACUUUGGUCUGUUCCAAUCCAGCUUCAGCUCCAGAGACGGCAGGUGGGACGAGUCAACGGAGGCCGGGUGGACGAAGGCAUGCAGCUGAGUACAAUCCAGAAAACAACAGAGGAGGAGUGCAGCGGCCCAGAGCCAGAACAAACAGUAGCAUCAUAUGUCUCUUAGAAAACAUCAUAGUAUAGCCUUUGGUAUGAAAAAACGCCAUCAUAUACAUCGUAUAUUGUACAAAUAACAAG
ensembl:lncRNA